UCCAACUAUACUUCAAACGUCAAAGGGUUAUAUAUUUAUUUGGUAAUUUAUAAUCUAUUUUCCAACUUUCUUUCUUCUCCUUCUCGUCUUAAUUAUUUCAUCCAAUCUCUGCUUUCUGCAAUCCUCAAUUUCUCCUCCGAUUUCUCAUUCGAUUCACGUUCGUCCCGUUGAUCAAAGCAAAAUCAAAGACGUAUAUUAUGACACCAUCAGAGAAUUCUAGUGCCACAAAGGUGUUCAACUAUUUGAUUAGGAUCCCACGCGUUGAUAUUAAAAUCCUCGAAGAAUCGAUCGGACCCGUGAAGCUAGAACUCGACGAAAAGACAAAAGCCAGAGAUGCUAUUCGGUUACAACUCGAAGAUAAAAUAGCCGGCAGUAAGAUUCACGAUCUAUAUUACGAAUAUGUCAAGGGCAAGGAAAUAAGUGCAAGAAAUACGGUGAAGUCAAAGCUCGCCGAAAUAAAAUCUGUUCGGUCCGUGAUUAACAAAGCCGAGAAAGUAUUAUCCAUCGAUCGUAUCAAUGCUCGUGUAUGUAACGUGGAAAGAUAUAUAGUAGAACACGAGUCUCUGCCGUUGGAGGAAUUACGAAAGCGCGUGCGUGGAAUGAAUCGGCUGAACCAACGUCGCGUAAGAUUAGAAAAUAGCGUUGGUCGAUUAUGUUAUUGCGCUGAU